AUUGAACGCUGGCGGCAUGCUUUACACAUGCAAGUCAAACGGUAACAGGCCGCAAGGUGCUGACGAGUGGCGCACGGGUGAGUAAUGCAUCGGAACGUGCCCAGUCGUGGGGGAUAACUACUCGAAAGAGUAGCUAAUACCGCAUACGAUCUAUGGAUGACAGCGGGGGACCGUAAGGCCUAGCGCGAUUGGAGCGGCCGAUGUCGGAUUAGGUAGUUGGUGGGGUAAUGGCUCACCAAGCCAAAGAGCUGUAGCUGGUCUGAGAGGACGACCAGCCACAUUGGGGCUGAGACACGGCCCAGACGCCUACGGGAGGCAGCAGUGGGGAAUGGUGGACAAUGGGCGCAAGCCUGAUCCAGCGAUGCCGCGUGCAGGGAGGAGGCCUUGGGGUUGGAAACUGGGUUUGUACGGAGCGAAACGGCUCUGGUUAAUACCCGGGGCUAAUGACGGUACCGGAAGAAUAAGCACCGGCUAACUACGUG
rnacentral:rRNA from 1 species